CUGGAGAUACUAUUAGACUUGAGACCGGGAGAGGUUAGAGGUACUCCCAGGGUAGAGGUGAAAUUCUGUAAUCCUGGGAGGACCGCCUGUUGCGAAGGCGUCUAACUGGAACGGUUCUGACGGUGAGGGACGAAAGUUAGGGGCGCGAACCGGAUUAGAUACCCGGGUAGUCCUAACUGUAAACGAUGCGGACUUGGUGUUGGGGUGGCUUUGAGCUGCUUCAGUGCCGAAGGGAAGCUGUUAAGUCCGCCGCCUGGGAAGUACGGUCGCAAGACUGAAACUUAAGGAAUUGGCGGGGGAGCACCACAACGCGUGGAGCCUGCCGGUUUAAUUGGAUUCAACGCCGGACAUCUCACCAGAGGCGACAGCUGUAUGAUAGCCAGGUUGAUGACUUUGCUUGACUAGCUGAGAAGAGGUGCAUGG
rnacentral:rRNA from 1 species